ACGCAUUAAGUAUUCCGCCUGGGGAGUACGGUCGCAAGAUUAAAACUCAAAGGAAUUGACGGGGGCCCGCACAAGCAGCGGAGCAUGUGGUUUAAUUCGAAGCAACGCGAAGAACCUUACCUAGACUUGACAUCUCCUGAAUUACUCUUAAUCGAGGAAGUCCCUUCGGGGACAGGAAGACAGGUGGUGCAUGGUUGUCGUCGGCUCGUGUCGUGAGAUGUUGGGUUAAGUCCCGCAACGAGCGCAACCCUUAUUGUUAGUUGCUACCAUUUAGUUGAGCACUCUAGCGAGACUGCCCGGGUUAACCGGGAGGAAGGUGGGGAUGACGUCAAAUCAUCAUGCCCCUUAUGUCUAGGGCUACACACGUGCUACAAUGGCAAGUACAAAGAGAAGCAAGACCGCGAGGUGGAGCAA
rnacentral:rRNA from 1 species